ACGGGAGGCAGCAGUGGGGGAUAUUGCACAAUGGGGGAAACCCUGAUGCAGCGACGCCGCGUGAGUGAUGAAGUAUUUCGGUAUGUAAAGCUCUAUCAGCAGGAAAGAUAAUGACGGUACCUGACUAAGAAGCACCGGCUAAAUACGUGCCAGCAGCCGCGGUAAUACGUAUGGUGCAAGCGUUAUCCGGAUUUACUGGGUGUAAAGGGAGCGUAGGCGGCCAGACAAGUCAGAUGUGAAAACCCGGGGCUCAACUCCGGGACUGCAUUUGAAACUGCCAGGCUUGAGUGCAGGAGAGGCAAGUGGAAUUCCUAGUGUAGCGGUGAAAUGCGUAGAUAUUAGGAAGAACACCAGUGGCGAAGGCGACUUGCUGGACUGAGACUGACGCUGAGGCUCGAAAGCGUGGGGAGCAAACAGGAUUAGAUACCCUGGUA
rnacentral:rRNA from 1 species